UUAAGAAAUCAAAAAACAGUGAUUACAUCCAUACAACAUUAUAGCUGAAAAAACCAUGUAAUUACAUGUUAACUCAUUAACUAAAUUCUAUGUUCACUUAUCCACUAAAAUUAAAAAAAAAAAAAACACACAAUUUAGAGUACAUUUGAAGUUAAAACAAAAUCAUUGUAUUUCCAAAACUUUAUUACAAAAUAGUUUUGUAAAAGGUUCUUUGAAAUAAUCAGAAAUAUAAAACAUGGACGUAAAGUUUGUUGUUGUUAGUUUUGGUCCCUCUGUAAGAUGUAAUCUGAAAUGACUCCAUGCAGUCACCCCCACCACAUCCAUCAUUCCAUGCCUUAGGCCUUGGGAACCACUCCAGAUUAAUUAAGGAACAGUUCUUUGUUCUUGUGAGGCCAUCCCUGUGAAGGAGAAUAAAUACUCUCAAGGAAAGCAAGAAAGAGAGAAGACACAGAGCCUCAGAACAGGGGAACUAAUGGAUUCUCAAAAGGUAGAAGGCCCACCAGGGACAAGGAUCCACGAGUGCAAGUCUGUCUGAAGCUAACAGGGAGGAUCCCGCAGGUCCUCAUCAAUGUGCUCUAUUCUGGCACCACAUAAUUUAAGACACGUAAGCUCCCUUCAGUGCAGCUGAAGAAGUUUAUCUUCUAGAUUUUGACUACCCAGGAAACACCUGGGUUAAAAGAACAAUGACUAUAACCAAACAGUAAUAAAAAUGGUCACUUGCUUGUCACUCUAUUAAAAAUGAGGAAUUUUAGCUUUUAGUAUGCACGUCCAUAUACUAAUAGCAUAGCACUUAAAUAAUCAAAGGACUGUAUUGUUUUGAUAUCCCCAAUACCCAACACUUAUAACUUAUUUCAAAGACAUUAAACAAAUACUAUCAUAAAAUGUUAUUUUUUCAAGUUAUGAAGAAUAUCUUAGCAUUAGUUUUGGACUUAUUAUAAAUAAUUUAUCCUAAAAAAUGUACUGCUUAGUGAUUUAUAGAGUCAAGCCACACAGGAUUUUUGUAUUUUAAAACGAACUGAGAAAGAAGAGCAGCUAGAACUUACGUCAUGGAAAAUGCACAGUGAAGCACAGGACAAAUUAAUCCCAUUAUUAGAGCCUACACAGAAACCAAGACUCUUCUCCAAGACUAUGAACACGCUCCUAAGAAUACCUGGCCCACUAGAGCAGUGUGACAAACAGGAAUAUAGCCACAGAUAACACAUCACCUCCAGUUGAGUCCCUAUGUGUGGACCUUAACUGCUCAUCCCAGUGAGUACUGCUUGGAUCCUCCCAGAGUUCUCUCCCAAGUCAUUAUACCCAAGAGCUCUUUAACCCCCAAGGUAGUCAAGUCCAUUUCCAAACAGCCCAUUUAGGAGGUUUUAUCAAUGCUAAAACUAAAACAAAAUCAAUUUUUUCUUAAUUUGAAAAAAUGCAAAUCCAGGACUAGAAAAAUGGCUCGGUGGUUAAAGGUAUGUUACUAUUGCAAAGGACCCAGGUUCAGUUCCCAGCACCCACAUAAUGCCUCACACCUGUAACUCCUAUUUCAGAGACGGUGACACCCUCUUCUAGCCUCUGCAAGCCCUGCACAAAUGUGCUAUGCAUACUCUCAGGUAAGAUACUCACACACAUAAAACAAAAACAAACGAACGCUUUCAAACUUAAAAAUCCAUUAUAGCUAUGGGUUUUCUGUUAAGAUGUUUUUUGUCUAUCUCUCUCUCUCUCUCUCUCUCUCUCUCUCUCUCUCUCUCUCUCUCUCUCUGUGUCUGUGUGUGUGUGUGUGUGUGUGUUUGUGUGUUUGUGUGUACACACUCUGGUCCUAUGGAAGAGGAGGAAGUAGUCUUAAGACACCAAGAUAUUUCUCUAGCCCACAGGUGUUUUUAAUUUUCAGGUCAGGAAACGGCAUUGUCAGACAGAUAUUCUUACUUGCCUCUGCACUGGGUUAUAUUAGGAUACACUAUGUAAGGUGAAGUUAUGUGCAAUUUAGGAAUGCUUCCAAGGGACCUGUGGAUCACUCUUAAGUAUUAGUGCUUGAUACUAAACCACAACCCAGUACGCAAUGGUUAGAGGUUAGCUGUAACACACACCGAGUCCUGCACAAAGAGCCACCAGGACAGAGAUGCCAAUGGUGUCAAGGGCCUAGAAGCCUCCUCAAGAGCAAAGAAAGCCAGGCAAAGGCCAUGGUGGAAAAGCAGGCCCUACCUGCCCUGAUGCCUGGGACCAUAGAGAAGAAGCUGGGCCCAGGCAUGGCGGGACAGUGAACCUUGGAAGAGCACAGGCCGAGGAAAAGAGUUAGUGUAGGCUGUCCCACUUGACCUGACCAAGUCCUCUCCUGCCCGAGCAGAAAGCUCACGAGACCAAGGAGAGUUAUGUGCACUCAGUAAAGAGAAACCACACUCUGAGCUGUUCCCACCCUGCAAGUAAGCAAUCCAUGCCAUCUUCAGGCCCAGCAGCAGAGGGUACUGAGAGGCACUACAAGCCUGCAAUCCUACUGAGAUGCUGUAUCUGACAACAUCUACCAGCAUCCUCACAGCAACAGCGGUAAAACUAUGAUCUUUCAGGCACUGUGAUUAUUUACACAGCACCAAAAGGGCACCACACAGCAAAAGCAAGAAGAAAGCCAACUGGCCAAGCGUAGGUGUACAGGCCUGGAAUUUCAGCUCCUACUGUGAAAGAGAAGCAGGAAAAUCAUGUUCACGGCUAGCCUAGGCUACAGAGUGGAAACUGUCAAAA
rnacentral:sRNA from 1 species